rnacentral:rRNA from 1 species
AGUGAACGCUGGCGGUAGGCCUAACACAUGCAAGUCGAACGGCAGCACAGUAAGAGCUUGCUCUUACGGGUGGCGAGUGGCGGACGGGUGAGGAAUACAUCGGAAUCUACUUUUUCGUGGGGGAUAACGUAGGGAAACUUACGCUAAUACCGCAUACGACCUACGGGUGAAAGCAGGGGAUCUUCGGACCUUGCGCGAUUGAAUGAGCCGAUGUCGGAUUAGCUAGUUGGCGGGGUAAAGGCCCACCAAGGCGGCGAUCCGUAGCUGGUCUGAGAGGAUGAUCAGCCACACUGGAACUGAGACACGGUCCAGACUCCUACGAGAGGCAGCAGUGGGGAAUAUUGGACAAUGGGCGCAAGCCUGAUCCAGCCAUACCGCGUGGGUGAAGAAGGCCUUCGGGUUGUAAAGCCCUUUUGUUGGGAAAGAAAAGCAGCAGGUUAAUACCCCGCCGUUCUGACGGUACCCAAAGAAUAAGCACCGGCUAACUUCGUG